GUGUGUUAAACAAUAGUAAAAUACAUAUAGUAAAGAAAAUAAUAUAUUGUAUCUCUCUCACCUCCCUGUUAGGGAAAAUGGGAUGAGAGUCCAACAAUGAAAUUAAUCUAUUUUCUAUAGUCUUAUAUGAGAAAUAUUAUCCCGUUAUUUGACAAUAUUUCAGCAACAGAUUAGUGCCAAAUUGUGAGAUAUCACUGUAUAAAUAUUCUUAUCAUCAAAAAAUUUAUUUUGAAAAAAUAAUAUAUUGAUGCAAUCAGAGUUGAUCUGUCAAUCCAGAUCUGAUCAUCAGAUUACCUUCUGGGAGACCACUUAUACUUCCAAAAUUGGUGAAUGUGGAUUAAGAUUAAUGGAAGAAGGAAGCAAUGAUCACUUCUUUACUAACAACAUAUUUUUCAUCUCUACUCACAUCUCCAAGAACAUAACACUUACGAUAAAUACUUCAAACUUCCAAAGUUAUUAAUUCCAAAAGUAAUUCCAUUAAAAUUCCAAAGCCUAUUAGUAAAGUUAUAUUAAGCUAAUGUCAAAUAGAUAAUAUAUCAACAGAUGAAUCCUGAC
rnacentral:lncRNA from 1 species